ACACUAGGAAUACCUGUACCUUGUAUAUAAAAAGAAUUUUUCAUCUAAGUGAAAAGACUUAGAUAGCAAAGGAAGACGAAAAGACCCCGCGGAACUUUACCUUUUCUUAUACUCACGUCUACAAACUUAAAAGUCUAUAAGGUUUGAUUGGGGCAAUCUUGGAACCACUAAAGCUUCCAAUUCCUUUUAAAAAAUAUCAAAAAUUUAUUAAGGACCAAAAAGAAGUUACCCCGGGGAUAACAGCGUAAUCCAACUUAAGGAGUACAUAUCGAAAGUUGGGUUUGGGAACUCCAUNNUUGGNAAA
rnacentral:rRNA from 1 species